rnacentral:lncRNA from 1 species
GCCAGUGCGCUGCGGAUGGGACACCAAUGCGACCUUCGUGUAUGGCCUAAAAGGCAUUUCUCAUUAUCUUUCGGUCUCAAUUGCAGCAUGUUGUGGAGCUGACUUUGAAGCUUAAGACAACGGCGUUCUAUGUUUAUACGAUCUACUGGAGCCUAGAAAAGUUGGAAACUGAAGAUCAUAAACUUCCUGUGAGCUCACCAGUAGCCUACGGCCGGAAUUGGAUAAACAGGUUCGAUGUCGCUCAUUCACAUCGGCUCUUAAAAUGUUCUGUCUUCCUUUUAAUGGGAAAUGCACUUGAGAUGCCUGUGGCCAGGUGUAGGCUCCUGCAGUACAGUGUGGCUACUUGAGAACGCUAUAUCUUCCGGCGGAAAGGUGAAAGGUUCAUCUCAGCGCAGCAUGUCCAGGACUCCAGCACUUAAUCUAUUGCUUGGCGAAUGAAAACCGCCUGUGGACGACAUGUUGGCUGAGAGGAACAAUGAACAAUACGUGGAUAAUCAAAGCACCACUUUGAAGAACAUGAAUAUUUAGGAAGAUGCCUGUCAGAAUCAACAAAGAUCUUACCUUCCAGUGGAGGAGAUAGAUUCUUUUGCCCGUCUCAUUUUCAUUUCACGAGCAUUGGGCCAUGCAGCUGUGCUCCUCUGGCACUCAGAGAGGCGGCCACUCAACCCCCCACUCACCAGAGGGGUCCAGACCACCUGGCUCCAGGGGCAGCUGACUGGCCUAUUCAGCUGAAUGCACAGGCAGACCAGCGGCUCAUCCCUGGCCUGCCCCGGAGGUGGACGCGUGGAGUGCGAGGGGCCUGUGUGGAAGGUCAGCGGAGCCAGAGGAAAAGCCCACGUUUGUGGGAGCGCGAGGCGAGUGGAUGAGUGACCAUUUACACCCGAGUGGAACAUAGGGAGAGAUUCACGGGGAGUCAGCUGAUGCUACUGGCACUAUAUUUGUAUCGCAGGAAGGGAUGGGAAUUAUUUACUUCCUGCCAUUAUAGAAUAAAGGGAUCGAAGAGGGGAGAAAGAGUGACA